GGAGGAAAGUAGGGGAUCGUAAGACCUUGCGCUUUUGGAGUGGCCGAUGCCUGAUUAGCUAGUUGGUGGGGUAAGAGCCUACCAAGGCGACGAUCAGUAGUUGGUCUGAGAGGACGACCAGCCACACUGGGACUGAGACACGGCCCAGACUCCUACGGGAGGCAGCAGUGGGGAAUUUUGAACAAUGGGCGAAAGCCUGAUCCAGCAAUGCCGCGUGAGUGAAGAAGGCCUUCGGGUUGUAAAGCUCUUUCAGUCGAGAAGAAAAGGUUGCGACUAAUAAUCGCAACUUAUGACGGUAUCGACAGAAGAAGCACCGGCUAACUACGUGCCAGCAGCCGCGGUAAUACGUAGGGUGCGAGCGUUAAUCGGAAUUACUGGGCGUAAAGGGUGCGCAGGCGGCUCUGUAAGUCAGAUGUGAAAUCCCCGGGCUUAACCUGGGAAUUGCGUUUGAAACUACAAAGCUAGA
rnacentral:rRNA from 1 species